AUUGAACGCUGGCGGCAGGCCUAACACAUGCAAGUCGAGCGGAGGAAGGGAGCUUGCUUCUGGAUUCAGCGGCGGACGGGUGAGUAAUUCCUAGGAAUCUGCCUGGUCGUGGGGGAUAACGUCCGGAAACGGGCGCUAAUACCGCAUACGUCCUGAGGGAGAAAGUGGGGGAUCUUCGGACCUCACGGUAUCAGAUUAGCCUAGGUCGGAUUAGCUAGUUGGUGGGGUAAAGGCCUACCAAGGCGACGAUCCGUAACUGGUCUGAUAGGAUGAUCAGUCACACUGGAACUGAGACACGGUCCAGACUCCUACGGGAGGCAGCAGUGGGGAAUAUUGGACAAUGGGCGAAAGCCUGAUCCAGCCAUGCCGCGUGUGUGAAGAAGGUCUUCGGAUUGUAAAGCACUUUAAGUUGGGAGGAAGGGCAGUAAGUUAAUACCUUGCUGUUUUGACGUUACCAACAGAAUAAGCACCGGCUAACUUCGUG
rnacentral:rRNA from 1 species